rnacentral:rRNA from 1 species
AGGAAAGAAACUAACAAGGAAUCCCUAGUAACGGCGAGUGAAGCGGGAUGAGCUCAAGCUUAAAAUCUCUGUGCAGGUUCUGCAUGGCGAAUUGUAGUCUAUGGAGGCGAUGUCAGUGCGGUUGUGCGGGAUAAGUUCCUUGGAAGAGGACAGCAUCGAGGGUGAUACUCCCGUAUGUGCCUGUACAGCUGCGCGUACGACACGUUUUCUUUGAGUCGCGUUGUUUGGGAAUGCAGCGCAAAGUAGGUGGUAAAUUCCAUCUAAAGCUAAAUAUUGGUGCGAGACCGAUAGCGAACAAGUACCGUGAGGGAAAGAUGAAAAGAACUUUGAAAAGAGAGUUAAAGAGUACCUGAAACUGCUGAAAGGGAAUCGAAUCGUUUCCAGUGUCUAUAAUCCAUGACAUAUUUCAUUGGCGCGUGAAUGCGUGCAGCGUUUUGGAAGUGGGUUUCCUCUCCUGGCGUUGUUGUGCGUUUGCUUGCUGGUGCCCUGUGUUGUGGUGGGACGUCAGAGUCAGUUCGUAUGCCGCGGGAAAUGGCUGUCAGGRAGGUAGGUCGCUUCGGUGGCUGUUAUAACCUGKCAGUUAGUAGUCGUGGUUGGGACUGAGGUGCCUACAACGCGCUUUCGAGUCUGCGGGACUCUCGUCUGGUUGCCUGCCUGGACAGCUUGCUGUGCUGGUGGUCACAUCGGGCGAUUGAGAUCUGUAGUAACUUGUUGCCGUUCGGGACUUUGACGAA